CGGUCAAAUCACGUGAAAACACCGGUUCUCGUUCGAUCACCGAAAAUUUAAGCAUCGUUCUCGUUCGAGCCAGCCAGGUCAGUACUUAGAUGGGGACCGCUUGGGAACACCUGGUACUGUAAG